rnacentral:rRNA from 1 species
UACGGGGGGAGCAAGCGUUGUUCGGAAUUACUGGGCGUAAAGGGCUCGUAGGCGGCCAACUAAGUCAGACGUGAAAUCCCUCGGCUUAACCGGGGAACUGCGUCUGAUACUGGAUGGCUAGAGGUUGGGAGAGGGAUGCGGAAUUCCAGGUGUAGCGGUGAAAUGCGUAGAUAUCGGGAGGAACACCAGUGGCGAAGGCGGCUUCCUGGCCUGUUCUUGACGCUGAGGCGCGAAAGCUAGGGGAGCAAACGGG